rnacentral:siRNA from 1 species
GUAGGUAUGUCUAUUUCGUUCGUG